AACGCACAUUGCGCCCCCUGGUAUUCCGGCGGGCAUGUCUGUUUGAGCGUCAUUUCAACCCUCAUGGAGUUGACUUUGUCAACCGGCAUGGUAUUGGGCUCUGACCGGUCUUAGUUGACAGGCAGGCCUUAAAGUUGAAAGCUCUGCUGGUGACUUACACCGAACCGAACAUAGUAAUUUUUCUUGUUCAGCCUAGGUAAAGCUCAUUAAGCCUGAACAAAACCCCAUUUCUAAGGUUUGACCUCAGAUCAGACAAGGAUACCCGCUGAACUUAA
rnacentral:misc_RNA from 1 species